rnacentral:rRNA from 1 species
UACAGAGGGGCCAGCGUUAUUCGGAAUUACUGGGCGUAAAGCGCACGUAGGCGGAUUUGUAAGUCAGGGGUGAAAUCCCGGGGCUCAACCUCGGAACUGCCUUUGAUACUGCAAAUCUCGAGUCCGGAAGAGGUGAGUGGAAUUCCUAGUGUAGAGGUGAAAUUCGUAGAUAUUAGGAAGAACACCAGUGGCGAAGGCGGCUCACUGGUCCGGUACUGACGCUGAGGUGCGAAAGCGUGGGGAGCAAACAGGG